UCUCCAACAGGGUGGGUGUGUUUAUCAGGGUUGGUGCGUUAUCUCAUCAGGGUUGGUGUGGUUUAUCUCCAUCAGGGUGGGUGUGUUUAUCUCCAACAGGGUGGUGUGUUUCUCAACAGUGUGUGUCUUUAUCACCAAAGGGUGGGUGUCUUUAUCCAACAGGGUGGGUGUCUUUAUAUCCAACAGGGUGGUGUCUUUAUCUCCAACAGGUGGGUGUCUUUAUCUCCAACAGGGUUGUGGUGUCUUUAUCUCCAACAGGGUGGGUGUCUUUAUCUCCAACAGGGUGGGUGCUUUUAUCUCCAACAGGGUGGUGUCUUUAUCGCCAACAGGGUGGGUGUCUUUAUUCAACGAUGUCUCAGGGUGGUGUUUCAUAUGGUAGUGCUGUCUUUAUCUCCAACAGGGGGGUGUGAGUGUGUUUAUCUCCAACAGGGUUGUGUGUUUAUCUAAAACAUGGUGGUGUGAGUGUGUUUACUCAACGGAGGGGUGUGUUUAUCUCCAACGGGGUGGGUGUGUUUAUCUCCAUCAGGGUGGUGUGUUUAUCUCCAUCAGGUGGUGUGUUAUCUCCAUCAGGGUGGGUAUCUCGUGUGUGUUAUCUCCAACAGGGUGGGUGUCUUAUCUCCAACAGGGUGUGUGUGAGUGUGUUUAUCUCCAACAGGUGGUGUGUUAUCUAAAACAUGGUGGUGUGAGUGUGUAUCUCCAACGGGGUGGGUGUGUUUAUCUCAUCAGGGUGGUGUUAUCCACGGGUGGGUGUGUUUUCUCCAUCAGGGUGGGUGUGUUAUCUCAUCAGGGUGGGUGUGUUUUAUCUCCAUCAGGGUGGGUGUGUUAUCUCCAUCAGGG
rnacentral:lncRNA from 1 species